rnacentral:rRNA from 1 species
GAGUUUGAUCCUGGCUCAGGACGAACGCUGGCGGCGUGCCUAAUACAUGCAAGUCGAGCGAGUCUGCCUUGAAGAUCGGAGUGCUUGCACUCUGUGAAACAAGAUACAGGCUAGCGGCGGGACGGGGUGAGUAACACGUGGGUAACCUGCCCAAGAGAUCGGGAUAACACCUGGAAACAGAUGCUAAUACCGGAUAACAACAGAUGAUGCCUAUCAACUGUUUAAAAGAUGGUUCUGCUAUCACUCUUGGAUGGACCUGCGGUGCAUUAGCUAGUUGGUAGGGUAACGGCCUACCAAGGCGAUGAUGCAUAGCCGAGUUGAGAGACUGAUCGGCCACAUUGGGACUGAGACACGGCCCAAAACUCCUACGGGAGGCAGCAGUAGGGAAUCUUCCACAAUGGACGCAAGUCUGAUGGAGCAACGCCGCGUGAGUGAAGAAGGGUUUCGGCUCGUAAAGCUCUGUUGUUGGUGAAGAAGGACAGGGGUAGUAACUGACCUUUUGG